rnacentral:rRNA from 1 species
GCGAGUGCUUGCACUCGUGGAUCAGUGGCGAACGGGUGAGUAACACGUGAGUAACCUGCCCUCCACUCUGGGAUAAGCGCUGGAAACGGCGUCUAAUACUGGAUACGACCGACCCUCGCAUGGGGUGUUGGUGGAAAGAUUUAUCGGUGGUGGAUGGACUCGCGGCCUAUCAGCUUGUUGGUGGGGUAAUGGCCUACCAAGGCGACGACGGGUAGCCGGCCUGAGAGGGCGACCGGCCACACUGGGACUGAGACACGGCCCAGACUCCUACGGGAGGCAGCAGUGGGGAAUAUUGCACAAUGGGCGAAAGCCUGAUGCAGCGACGCCGCGUGAGGGAUGACGGCCUUCGGGUUGUAAACCUCUUUCAGCAGGGAAGAAGCUUUUGUGACGGUACCUGCAGAAGAAGCACCGGCUAACUACGUGCCAGCAGCCGCGGUAAUACGUAGGGUGCGAGCGUUGUCCGGAAUUAUUGGGCGUAAAGAGCUUGUAGGCGGUUUGUCGCGUCUGCUGUGAAAAUUCAGGGCUUAACCCUGGACGUGCAGUGGGUACGGGCAGACUAGAGUAUGGUAGGGGAGACUGGAAUUCCUGGUGUAGCGGUGGAAUGCGCAGAUAUCAGGAGGAACACCGAUGGCGAAGGCAGGUCUCUGGGCCAUUACUGACGCUGAGAAGCGAAAGCAUGGGGAGCGAACAGGAUUAGAUACCCUGGUAGUCCAUGCCGUAAACGUUGGGCGCUAGGCGUGGGUCUCAUUCCACGAGAUCCGUGUCGCAGCUAACGCAUUAAGCGCCCCGCCUGGGGAGUA